rnacentral:rRNA from 1 species
AAUCAACGCUGGCGGCGUGCCUAACACAUGCAAGUCGCGCGCGAAAGGGGGGCAACUCCCGAGUAGAGCGGCGGACGGGGGAGUAACACGUGGGCAACCUGCCUGUAAGCAUGGGAUAACACCGGGAAACCGGUGCUAAUACCGGAUAAUCCUUUUUCUACCACUAGGAAAAGCUGAAAGUCGGUUUCGGCUGAAACUUACAGAUGGGCCCGCGCCGCAUUAGCGAGUUGGUGAGGUAACAGCUCACCAAGGCGACGAUGCGUAGCCGACCUGGGAGGGUGAUCGGCCACACUGGGACUGAGACACGGCCCAGACUCCUACGGGAGGCAGCAGUAGGGAAUCUUCCACAAUGGACGAAAGUCUGAUGGAGCAACGCCGCGUGUGCGAUGAAGGCCUUCGGGUCGUAAAGCUCUUUUGUUAGGGAAGAACAAGUACCGGAGUAACUGCCGUUACCUUGACGUUACCUAACCAGAAAGCCACGGCUAACUACGUGCCAGCCGCCGCGGUAAAAC